CAAUAGCGUAUAUUAAAGUUGUUGCGGUUAAAAGCUCGUAGUUGGAUUUCUGUCCGGGGCGACCGGUCCACCCUUCGGGUGAGCAUCUGGUCCGCUUUGGGCAUCCUUCUGGGGAACGCAUCUGCACUUGACUGUGUGGUGUGCGGAAUCUAGAACUUUUACUUUGAGGAAAUUAGAGUGUUCACUGCAGGCGUCCGCCUUGAAUAUAUUAGCAUGGAAUAAUAAGAUAGGACCUCGGUUCUAUUUUUUCGGUUUCUAGAGCUGAGGUAAUGAUUAACAGGGAUAGUUGGGGGGCAUUCGUAUUUAACUGUCAGAGGUGAAAUUCUUGGAUUUGUUAAAGACGAACUACUGCGAAAGCAUUUGCCAAGGAUGUUUUCAUUGAUCAAGAACGAAAGUUAGGGGAUCGAAGACGAUUAGAUACC
rnacentral:rRNA from 1 species